UUGCUCACGAACUCUGUGACAAUGGACACAAGGAUGCAUGCCAACAGGGUGACAGCCCACGGUGGGAGGCCACUCAGAGACAACAUCUGGUGCCCAAUCCACGUGGAGAGGCCAGAGCUCUGCAGGGAGAUGGGUGAUACAGCAGACUGGAUCCAGAGGCAUUCCUGAUUUGAUGAUGAGGUGGUUUUUACAGCCUAGAAAAUUCCUUAUGAUUGUGUAACAUUCAGUCUAAGGGUUUCCUGGACAAUCAUCACAGCGCAUGGAGAGCUGCCCAUCCUAAUGACUAUGACUCUUGUCAGGAUUAUGCCACGAUGGCUUGGCAGGGGCUGGAGAUCUUUGGGGCCACAGCCCUCUCAGCUUCACUCUCCUUACUCUCUCCAGCCUCUGCCAUUCUCACUCUGUGCAUCAGUCAACGGUGAUCCUGACACAGACUCCCCAGUAUAAUCCUUAACCUGCUUUUGAAAUCUAGCUCUCUUAUCACCGGUAAAAGGGGGGGAAUUAUCAACGUCCUUGGACAGUAACCUUUCCUGUGGUUUGUGGGGAGUCCGUGGGCAGGGCUGAACACCAGAAGCUUUGCAUAGAGGGGUUCCCAGUCUGUCCGCUCUCAGUGGGAAGGUGCCACCUGGCCGGCCUACAAAGCUAGUCGUGGUGGUCGGUUCUGUGUCAGGUUCAGUGUCCUCACGGCUGACGUCGGGAUCUGCCGCCCACCAGUGCUUUUUCACAACACAACAUAAGAAGGCAUGUUGCCGCUCUUGAACCUUUUCCAUUAGCAAAAUUUAUACAGAUCUACUCCAAUAAAUGAGUUAUUUCCCA